AUGCAAGGUAGGUUAGAUGGCCUAGGACCAGAGCAACGUAGUGAUGAGGCAGCAGCGACUGUCUUUAGGGAGGUUCUUGGCCAUCGACCUGGAUAUGCACGGGGACUUGGGGAAAUGGUCAUCCCCGAGUCAAGUAGACAAUGUGACAAACUUCAAAUGCAACAAUACAUGUCUGAGGCUGAAAAGCACAAGAAAGAUUCUGAACAAUAUAAGAAGGAUGCUGAACAAUAUAAGAAGGAUGCUGAAGCUUACAAGAGUUAGCUGGAUGAAAUGAGGACAGAGUUGCGGGAGCUGAGGGAGCAUCAGAUACAAAAUGACAAUCUGAUGCAGUCUUUCUUUAGGGCUUUCCCGUCGUUCACUGAGUCAAUUCGACAGACUCAGUGUAACGAUUCCCCCGGCCCAUAAGGGGCUUCUCAUAGAAGGGCACAUUUUUUGGGUGGUUUUUUGUGACACCGGGGAGAUAUGAAGUUAGGGUGUCGAUGUGUUGUGCUUUUGGGUGGUUUUUGUACUUAGUCUAUACGACACUGGGCUAUAUAUAUAUAUAUAUAGUAUUAUAUAUAUAUAUAUAUUUAUAUAAAUCUUGGAUCUAUGUCUACACCGGGGAACUCUUGGAUCUCUCAUGGUCUGCAAAUGGGUUGCUCCUGUCGUCCUCUGUCGAGAAGAAUAUCUACGUACACUCAGCUAGUGGGAUGUGACAGCUGCCUAAGGAUCUUUUCUCAAAAUAUUCUAUGUACAAAUGGCUUGCGACGAGAGGUGUAGAU